GACGAACGCUGGCGGCGUGCCUAAUACAUGCAAGUCGAGCGGACGGAUGGGAGCUUGCUCCCAGACCGUCAGCGGUGGACGGGUGAGUAACACGUGGGCAACCUGCCUGUAAGACUGGGAUAACUCCGGGAAACCGGGGCUAAUACCGGAUACUCUUUCCCUCACAUGAGGGAAAGCUGAAAGAUGGCAUCUCGCUAUCACUUACAGAUGGGCCCGCGGCGCAUUAGCUAGUUGGUGAGGUAACGGCUCACCAAGGCGACGAUGCGUAGCCGACCUGAGAGGGUGAUCGGCCACACUGGGACUGAGACACGGCCCAGACUCCUACGGGAGGCAGCAGUAGGGAAUCUUCCGCAAUGGACGAAAGUCUGACGGAGCAACGCCGCGUGAGUGAUGAAGGUUUUCGGAUCGUAAAACUCUGUUGUCAGGGAAGAACAAGUACCGGAGUAACUGCCGGUACCUUGACGGUACCUGACCAGAAAGCCACGGCUAACUACGUG
rnacentral:rRNA from 1 species